CUCCGGUUCCUGCUGAACUGAGCCAGUGCUUGUUACACAUCAAACUGUUAUCAGCUCAGUAGGCACAGGAG